UCCUCCACAGCUGCGGCAGUUUCAUCGAACCAGCAGUAACCAGACCUCUUAUAGUGGGCAGGCCAGCUACAGUGCCCAGUCUACAUAUCCUGGAUAUGGACAACAGCCUGCUUCUGCUGCACCCCCCAGCAGCUACAGUUCUGGCAGCCCAGCAGGCCUCUGGAUUUGAGCAGAGCUGUAUUCCCAGCAGCCUCAGCAAAACUCCUAUUCUCAGCAGCAGCAGCAGGGAGGAUACCAGGGCCAACAAGGAAGCUACGGACAGCAGAGCUCCUACAGCCAGCAGGGAGGAUAUCAACAAACUCCAACCCAACCGCAACAGGCUCCACCUUUCAGCUACCCCCCCCUUCUGGGUCCUACGGACAGCCCCCUGCUAGUCAAUACGGACAGCAGGCCAGUACUGGAGGAGGCUAUGGCCAGGCAGACUAUAAACCACCCAGUCAGUAUGGUAAUUACAGACAGGACCAUCAAGAACGGCACGGGUGG